ensembl:lincRNA
GGAGGGCUUAUCCAACUUGCUGUGGCAAAUCCAUGUCGAGAGAUCUGCAUAUAGGUGGAAUUUCCUUCUGUACAUAUGCUCUUGGGUCUGUGUGCUCGUCAGCUGCCCUGUCCACUUUCCUGGCUCUACAGUCUGGUGUUCUGCAGCCUGAAAUCUCCUUGCCAUCUGCGGUCUUUGUCCCCUGGUUCUGGUGCCAUGCCCCACCGCUGACCCUGUGGAAGCUGCGCAGACUCUUGGAAGGUGAAGGUGCCAUUCUUUUGGAUUCCAGCAGUGAGAACACGACCUCAGCCUCCACAGGUAGCACUCGCAGCUCCACCCCCAGUGAGGCAAAGUCCUGGCACUCCAGGCAUCCUGGGCAGUUGGCAUGGCAGGUGGCAUCUUCUAGACAGGGAGGAGGAGAGGUUCCCUGUGACCAAAGUCCACAUGCAGGGCCAGACCUGAACAGUCUACAAACUCUCCUGGAGUAGUUGCAUGCAGUGAAAGAAGAGGAGAGCUGGUAAUUUCAGAGCAGGUCUCUUCAUGGAAGUCAGUGGAAAUAAAAUACAAUUAUUCCUCCUGAGACUCAUGGUGGGAAAGAGGGAAAGGGAAUGAAAAGAAAAAAAUAAUGAAUAAAUUGGUGUAGGACAGGGAUGUUUGAUUGGCUUUGUUGUUUGUGGGGGCCAGUCAUGGCCCACUGGAGUUUGACAUUUGGAAAAUAACUUCUUCCUCUAAAAUUGAGGCAUUGAUAUAUUUGUAAACAUUUGUUUCAUUUCAAGGACAUUGUUUGUUAAGCUUGUUUUCUUCUUUGACCCUCGGAUAACAGGAGCUCCUUAGAUCUGAUAUUAUCUGUAAGAGUCAGGAAAUCUGGUCUUUGCAUAAAGAUGAAAACAAUUGCUUGGUGCUUCCUGUUGUUGUGUGCCCUUAAAAGCUUCCUGUUCAUGUGUGCCUUUAAAAGGAGCUGUUUCUGUGAAAUAGAUCAGACUUCUCUUGGUCUCCACUCAGGCUUGAGUGUUCUUUCCUUUCUCAAUCCUCACUCCCCAACUCAGGCAUGUUCAUGUUGUGACAGCUGGGCUGCCAUAAGUGGCAACUGAACAGGGACCUGAGUAUUGAGGGAUCUAGUGAAGGACACUGCAGAGAAGAAUGAGGCCUCAACAAAAAAGGUAAGGAGCAGUGAGUUUUUCUUGUAAAUAUUAAAAAUGGGAGCCGGCAAUAGUUGCAUGCUUUUUGUACAUAUGCUUAAAGAUUUAUUGUGUGUCGGUGGUGCUAGAGUUGGGCACCAGCAAUUGUGUAAUUUUUUAGAAUUUGUAGAAAUAGUUUGUCCUUGGUAAUUUAAAAACUUGGAGUAAAAUUAAAAAACUAUUACAAGAUUAUUAUGCCACACACGGGCCUAGUAAAGUACAUGUGGAUGCUUUUAGCUUAUGGACUCUCAUCCAAGAUAGUUUAGAUCCAAGACAUGAAAGUGAAAAGGAUGGGCACAACUAACCCUAGGGGAUCCCUACUGUGUUGAGCACUUAAACUUUAGUACUUGUUCUUUUUUUGCUUCUGUGUCUUUCUCUUCCUGUUAAUGUCUGAAUUGGUAAUUUGUGAUCUGGAUCAUUUUGGAGGCUGGGAGGUCCAGGCAGAUGUGCUAGUGGACUCCCUGCCUCAGGGGCCGGAGAUGUCCUUUGCCCCUCUGGUAGGAACUCUGUCUCUCUGUUUAUGGGGAGGGAGGUUGAUUUUUUCCCCCUUCUCAGGACCUUCUGGUCAAAGAAGAGUUUUUCUGGUUUCACAAGAGGAGAUUAAAGGGGAUUCCCCGACAGAGUCCCUAGUUCUUUCAGUUUGUUUCUCUUACAUUCUGUUUGGCCUCUCUUGUUUAUCUGUUCACUUAUUUUGAAUUUUCUGACAGGAUGAGAAGAAGGUCAUCUACUGCCUUACCUUGAUUUUAGACCAUUUCCAGGAGGUCCGUUGGAUUGCAGCUGACCUUGGACUUCACAUAACUAAGAAAGAAAUUUCAAAACAACCCAGCCUAAGAGUUGCUCAAACUUCUGCUCUGUGACAGUCAGCUGCUAAUGAAAACUAUUUAGUUUUGGUAACACUUCUUGUGCAUUGCAAAUUCUUAAACUGUGAUGACAGGGUUAACUUGCUCUUUUCUAAAAAACUCAAAGUUAAUACUGUUGUAUUGGCAGCCAGUCAAAUUUUAAGAUGUAACAGUCUAAGAACAGAAAAAGGACACUUUAAACUGAAGUUCGUUAUAGAAGGUUAAUAGUAAAGGAGACAGAAAAAUAUUAGGAAAGCUAUAAGUAAGAGUUAUACUUUUAACAUGAAAGGUUUUUGUAUGUUUGUCUUGUUAAAAACAGGUAAAGAAAGAUAUACAAGAUCAGAAGGCCUAAGUACGUAGAAAUAGUGUGUGGAAAUGAUUUAUUUAUGCUUGCUUGUUGGUUUUAAGUCUGUUAUAAAAGGUUUACAUUUACAGUCAAGAAGAGCUUUCAUUCCUUUAAUCCUAAUUCUACAAGAGAUCUCUGUCAAUUUUGACCUGCAAAAAUUUUGACUAGUUGUAACUAAAAGAUUUUAUAAUUCAAUUGGUCAAAACCAUCUGAGUUCACUCUAGUUUAAAUGUUUGCCUGUCUAAUGUUCAAUAGUGUUUGUCCGAUUAUGUUUUUGAUCAAAAUGAUGUCAAAUACAAAUAGAUUGCUGAUUUCUACACCCUGGUUUCAUAGGAUAAAUAAAAAAUUUAAAGAUAAUUAAAUAUAAACUUUUAAGUUUGGGUACACUUCUGUUGGUAAAUAAAGAAGCAGCUGCUCAGAAAAUUUAUUCUGAUCUUUGUUCACUAGUGGGAGCCCAAAUGAUUUUCAUAGUCUUAUAAAAAGAUAUGCCUUGUUAAAUAUGUUGUUAAAAAUGUUUGCAUUGGUUAUCAUCAAAAGGCUGAAUUCUAAAUAUAUUAUUGUAACAUGUUUAUGAUGGUUAUCUUCAAAAUAUAAUAUUUUCUGUAAAAAAAUGGGAGGAAGAUCCUGUUGAUACAAAGCUACAUUACAGGACAUAAGAUUUCAUAUAAUUAUAAUAAUUAUUAUUGCUACUUUUCUGGUAUACAAAAUGUAUUCAUGUUGUUUGACCGUGCAGGUUUUCCAGCAUAUUGUUUAUGAUAAUAACCUUUUGGUUCAGGUAUUCUCCCUUCUCUUCUGCUCCACCUACUUAUGGUUACAGGUACAUUUAUAGACCCACCACUAUCCCUGGACAGCUUGAAGCUGGGUUCCACUGAGGAUACUGGAUUGGGACCCCAACACUGAAGCAGCAAACUCCAGGAUGUGUCUCAGUGCAAAGGCGAAAUUUCAUUCCAAAAAGCAAAAUGUGACCACCUUCUAUCUAGAAAAAGGACAAAAUAGAACUGGUGAGUCCCCGCAAUCCCUUCCCCUGUGUGAGGAAGAGACAAGGGAGAGUAAUAAAACAGUUUUGUGGAAAAAGUGUUAUGUGACUAUGCCUCAGGAACAACAGUUUAAUGGAAUGUCCUGAAAGUUCAUGGAUUGGUCCCAUGGGAAUUCUACUGCUCUGGGUCUAUCAACAGGACUUUGGUGGACAGAUACGGAUUCCCUCAGACUAAUAUAUGGAAGCUUGCUGCUGCCUUUGGAAAAGUACAAUUACAAAGGCAGAAAAAAAAAAGAUAAUGCCUUGUGUUAAUGCUCCUAUGUUAUUAGUAGGAAAUAUAUUAAUUAUCAGUUUCAUAAACAAUAACAAUAGCUGCUUUAAUUGUAAAUUGACCAAUUGUAUAUUCUCAGAAAUGAUGACUUCCUUUCAUUCUGCGAUGGUUUUGGGACAACCUCCCUUUGUAAUGAUGCCUGUAAAAAUUAACGAGUCCUGGUAUGAGGAUCAAGGGUUGCAAAUAUUGAUAGAGGUAGAGAAAGCUACAUGUCAAGCCUCCACAACCUACAGUCUAAUCCCUGCAGGGGCUGUUAGUCAAAGAUGGGUAAGAGAAUUGUAGAGAAAUAUCCAACCUAAGACAGAGCAUGAGUAUCAGAAUUCUCAUGGCUUGAUGAUGGGUAAGGGAUUUCUCUGGACAUUUCUCACCUAAGGACAGGCACCGUCUUUCUGCUGAGCUGGGAAAGUCCCUAAUAAAAAGGGGGAUAUGUGGGGGCCAGACAUGGCCCACUGGAGUUUGGCAUUUGGAAAAUAACUUCUUUUUCUACAAGUGAGGCAUUGAUAUAUUUGUUAACGUUUGUUUCUUUUCAAGGACAUUGUUUGUUAAGCUUGUUUUCUUCUUUGACCCUCGGAUAACAGGAGCUCCUUAGCUGAAGAUCUGAUAUUAUCUGUAAGAGUCAGGAAAUCUGGUCUUUGCAUAAAGAUGAAAACAAUUGCUUG